rnacentral:rRNA from 2 species
GGAUGCGAUCAUACCAGCACUAAAGCACCGGAUCCCAUCAGAACCCCGAAGUUAAGCGUGCUUGGGCGAGAGUAGUACUAGGAUGGGUGACCUCCUGGGAAGUCCUCGUGUUGCAUUCC